rnacentral:rRNA from 1 species
AAUCAACGCUGGCGGCGCGCUUAACACAUGCAAGUCGCACGAGAAAGGGAGCAAUCCUAAGUAAAGUGGCGCACGGGUGAGUAACACGUGGAUCAUCUACCUUUUAGUGGGGAAUACCUC